GAAAAGCGUUGGGAGGAUUGGUCCAUCCAAUUUUAUAGAAGCUACUGCUCUUGCAAAGUAAUUUUUGGUAACUCUCCCUCUCCUUACCAUUUUCUUUCUUCUUUGCUGAUACAUUGAACUGGGAAUGUUGAACACGAUUAACUAAAUCUUAUUUUAUAACCACGAUUGAGUCUGGCAAAUUUGUAUGAUAAAAUGUGUGUGACUUUUGUGAUUCUAAUCUUGUUUACUGAAGGUUUUUUAGUAACAUAAAUCCUUGUUAUAUCUUUUUAACAUUUUUAAACACAUUAAAUCAUCUCCGGUGUGGAUCUAUAAAUCCUUCUUAUGUCACUUUCUUCUAGUGGUGGAGGAUGUCAGAGAAGAAUUCGUAUUAUGAAACUUCUAAAUAGGCUUAUAGACAACCUUUUUGAAUAGAUCAGACUUAUUUGGUUUAGCACAUUAAAUCAUCUCCGGUGACUUGUUUUGCAUAAAAAUGCUGCUGCGAUUUUUAUUAUUGUUCACUUGUGAUUUGCUUUCGAAAUUGUCUCAUGCAAUUUAGAAAUGCCCAUAACAAAUUUUGUGGUAUUAAUCUUAAAAUUUGGACUAGUUUGCAACUCCACUAUAUGACCUUGUGGAUCUAUUCAGCGCUCAAAAAAGUAUUUGGCUUGACAAACAGGGAAGCAGAAGCCAUUUAAUCAAGCAGAAUCAGAUCACAUUUCAAUUAAAUGUUCAACAAUAAGGUAAGUGAAGACAAUAUGGAAGCAUUUUAUGCUUCUGUUGAAGCAGAGACAAAUUGUAUGUCAUCUAAACCCAAC
rnacentral:lncRNA from 1 species